rnacentral:lncRNA from 1 species
CAUCAAGCCUCCUUGUACGCAAAGACCUUUCACUUGAACUUCCUUCAGAAACAUCAAUUUCACCACGUGAUGGUGAUGUUGGAGGAGUGGUGGUCUCAUGUAUUUCUUCAUUGUCAUCUUCUCCUCCAAGAAAGGAAGAAAGUCAUAGUUAUCUUCUUCAACAUGCCAAUUCCAUGUUGCUUCCUCAUCAAAAUCCACAUCUCUACUAAUAAACAUC